CGAGUUUCCACACUGAUUAUUCUAGAUUUGUCAGCAACCUUUGUUAACAUGAACCAUUAAGUUUUGUUGAUUCAUUUGCAGAUACUGGCAAGGAUGGCCAAAUAUCAGUGUAGUGACUCUGGUCUCUCCUCCAUAGGAGGUCUCAGAGGGUGAUGUUGGACAAUUGCUCAUCUGCCCAGAGGAUUCUCAUGAAUGUGCAAUAUUACCUUCAUUCAUCUAGAGCCCUACGGAUGCAAUGAUCAUUUUAAAGUGAUUACUGCAGUAUAAGUGGCUGAAGGGAAGGGGCAGAUCCUGGAGCCACCAAUCCCCUCCAUGUUUCUGAUGGCCAUGCUCUGCCUACACCACAGCUGCCAUAACUGCUGUGAUCACAAGGGCAAGGCCUGCCUUUCACGGUGAUGUUUCAGCAGCAUGAAAACCACUUACCAUCCCUGAAAAAAAGAAAAAGCUGCAAUGAACUGAUUGGAAUUUCAUUUUGAGGUCAUCUCUGGUCUCAAUUGUCUUCCCUGAUACAUGUAUAUUCAAUAACCUUGUGAUGUUAGUGACAUAAUCCAAUCAGUAUUUCAAAUUUUCCAGUGCAGUCUCUGCUUGUCAUUUGGAUAUAUACAUGCAGCCACCAACAGGAAAAAAUAUUUUUUCCAGAUUACCAAAAUGGGUAUGGUAAAAUUGGAACGCAGGCUGGAUCAGGACAGAAGCUGGUGAAACCACUGACAAACAUGAAAAUGUCUGCAGAUAGAUCAGCCUCAGACUCAUAGUUGAUGCAGAUGAUAGAUACAAAUUCUUACUUAUGCUGGAUAUAAGGAAAAUAUUAUUUUACUCUGGGAGAGUGAUACAGUCCCCCAAAAGCUGUGGAGACCACAUUGCUGAAGAUAGUUUGGAGUUUCGUAUCCCUGGAGUUUUUCAAUUCUGAGAUAGCUCGAGCUACAGCUGACCUGAUCUACUGUUCCUUCCGACAUCUCCAUCAUUCUUUGAAAUCUACAUUAGACUGAACAUGGUUUUACUGCAGCACAUCUUGGCUAUGAUCCUAAAUCACACUUGUAGCUCUGCUUAUCAAGUAGCCAAUCCUUCCUAAUGCCAAUGACUGUAGAAGAAACUCAAGUCCCCAGGCAAUUCCUCAGAUGACUGCUUACAGCAGAAGACAAAGAAGAGGAUAAAAAGAAUUAAGUCAAGUUUUGCCUCCCUUCUCAUACUAAAAUGCCUCUAUCAAGUCUCUCCAGAGCCUUCUCUUCUC
ensembl:lncRNA